rnacentral:rRNA from 1 species
CGGGAUGACGUCAAGGUCAGCAUGGCCCUUAUAUCCUGGGCUACACGACACGCUACAAUGGCCAACACAAUAGGUUGCUAAGCCGCGAGGUGGGCGCCAAUCCAUAAAGUUGGUCUCAGUUCAGAUUGUAGGCUGCAACCCGCCUGCAUGAAGAUGGAGUUGCUAGUAACCGCAGGUCAGCUAUACUGCGGUGAAUACGUUCCCGGGGCUU